ensembl:lncRNA
GAGUCUGGAGCGGAGAAUGGCUGAAGUCUGGACCUGAAACAAAGUUGUGUCAAUAAGCGUCAUUAAACUCUGACCCACAACGAUGAGACUGAAUAUUCUAGCAGCAGUUUAUUGAAAAUUCAAACUUUUCAUUGAGCAGACGAACAAAUAUACUACAUUGACAUUACUAUUUAUUGUGCAAAAAUGUUCAGAAAAUUUCACAAUUAAGUGAAACCUUCAACCGUUAUAGAGCCUCAGAUUUAACAUGCAAAAUGAUCCCAAACGUCACUAGGCAUAAAAAUACAGUGCAUUUAAGGAUGACCUAGAACCCGUCAGAUACAUGAAGUCUCAGAUUUGGGAAUAUGAUUAUUUGUCUAAACCAGCGGUUCCCAAACUCAAGAAUGCCUCGGCCCACUUUGAAAUCUGAAAAUCUUUCGCGGCCCCCCCAAACCUUUGAUCACAACUCUGAUCAAAACGUAAUGGUUUAAUGACCUUAAGAAUUUAACCAAAAUCAAACAUCCGCGAGCAAAAGUCCGUCUCCGCGAGGUAUUUGCUCGCUUGCGAAACGUGAACUUCGCUGCUCGCGAGGAGAAUCUCUGCUCGCGCUGGAAGGAGUUUUCUACGCGCUCGCUGUUGUUCUUUCUGACAGUGAGGUGGAGACGGUGCUUCAAUUAAUGUUUCACAUAACUAAUGUGCCGCAUCAUGAAUAUUUCUGUAUUAAUUUCAAACUUUUAAAAAUUGAAAAUUAAAAAACUAUUUAUUUAUUGUAAAUGACCUCUCGCGGCCCGCCUGCAGUACCUUCCCACACCCAGCCCACACUUUGGGAAUCGCUGGUCCAAACCAUUAUACUGUUUUAUUUCAGAUUGGCCGUUGUUGAUCCCCAUAAUCUUUCUGUAACACGUCAUAAUAGUUCACAUUGAUAUAAGUAUAUAUAAGGAAUAUUUUCCUACUGGAUAAUUGUUUAGUAAAAUCAUGCAAUAUAGAUCCACAAAGUGUGAGCAGCAUACUUACUGAUUAAGACUCUUGUUGUGACUUUUCCGUUUCUGUAAAGAGUUUGGCGGCCAAUGACUGCUUUUUCCUCCACUGUUCUCUGUUCAGUUCCACAGUAGUAGAUUCCCUCAUCAGAAUCAGUGAUGUUCAUGAUCAGCAGGUCAUAAGAAUUAGAAGAAGAGUUUCUCACAAAUUGAAAACGAGGAAAAUUCUGAGGAUCUUUGGUGUCACUGGCCGGAUUGUAUCCUAAUGUGGAUGAUCUAUGGCCUACUUUAAGGACGAGAGGAGGCUGGUUCUCAUGAGAGCAGUUCCUAAACCACACUAUGUAUACUCCAGUUGAUAGUUUACAAUCACAGUAGAGCGUGAUGUUGUCUCCUGGUCUGACUGUCACUGAUCCAGAGAUCCAAUCAUGACUGCAGGAUGCAACUCCUGGAAAACAGAGAAAAUGGUAAAAGCAGAUUGAAAUGUGCUCCGUGUUGGAUGAUUUCACAUUACAGCAGGGGCAGAUUUCUGCUCAACACAACAACAAUGAGAGCGUAAUUAAAACAUCCAAAAUAAGUCUCCAUAGACUUACCUAAGAGAGCGACUAGAAAAGUGUGCAGCCCGUCCAUGAGUGAUGAUGACCGAAAGUUAACAGACAGACUGAUUUUACCCAAAGAUGUGAUGCCUUUGAAGACAAAGUGUUCAAUGUGAUUGGCCAGUCAAGUGGAACAUUUUCUUCUGUGGGAUCUUUCUAUUGGUGCAAAGAUGUUUGUGGUAUUCUGCGCCUUCCUGCUUCCCGUACGUGAUUACUCUGUAACGAACACAAUAAGAUGAGCCCAACUGAGGGCUUGACAUUACACAGCCUUGUAUUUCAUACACUGUUGUGUUUGUACAGUAGUACGUACAGUAUGCUGAGGGGUUUAUAGACAUGAAGGACCAGAAGUUUGCAUUCCUCAAAAUAAAUAAAUAAGGACCGUGUUGGAUACAGUGAGCUUCAUUUACAGUUCCAACAAGUCGCUAUAGUGGCCAAUUUACUUUAUUAUUAUCAUUAAUGCUGUAUUUAUGCUUUAAUGAAGAAUAUUUUAUUAUUAUAUUAAAUGGUGAACACCGUCAAAAUGUCUAGUCUCCAACCCAAAAUGAAGUUUUACAGAGGACACUAUUAGUGACAUGUAGCUGGUCUUUGGCUGCUGUGGUAACUCACUCUAAUGGUUUACAUAGAUGAUGAACACAGAUGAGCUCGCAUUCAAAAUGUAUCUGGAAAUUAUAUUAUAACUUUAAUGGUUUCUAGUCGCUCAUCUCAAACUCAUCUUUUUUAAAUUGGCAGAAGGAGAGCUGGUAAUGCUAGCAGCACUGGAGCUAACGGCUAAUGUACGUAGGUUUUAUUGAGAUGAUCUCAAAGUGAUAUUUGCUCCCUUUUUUUUGCUGAUUUUCGGCUUUAAACAUGUGAUACGAUUGAAAUCCUAAUGUCCUUUUGUUGUGUUUGUGAGAACUGAUAAAGAAGUUGUUAGCCUUGAGUGACUAGCAUGUUGUCGAUGUCUUUGCAUACCUUGACAAGCUGUUGCUCUCCGUCCUGCUUCAGAGGCCAAACUGCCUGCAGACGUUCAUCAUCAUCAUCGUUUACAGUCUCUAGAAAGAUCUAUAAGAAGAGGUCAAGUAUUAAUCAUUACCAAAAAGACAGUUUAUGGCUCUUCUAAAAAUGAGACAAAUAAUUAUUUUGGAGGUUUGACCACCUAAACACAACAACAGGAGACGUGUGUUGGUCUACGUUCACACACAUCAUCUCAGAGGACGGAUAGAAACACACAGUGUCAAAGCUUCAUGGUGGGAACUAUCAAACACACUUGUCUUUACAUUGGGGCUGGAACACGGUGUGAUAUCACUGAUGCUGUGGUUGCUGAGGUACCGCUAUGUGGGUGUGUGUCUACACAUGCCUGCAUUGACGUUCACACUUCAUGCUGUUUCCUCGUUCAGCCUCUGAUUCUCUGUUGAUCUACUGACCACAAAUAAACUGCUUUGUGUGACUGCUGUUUGGUGGAUGUA